rnacentral:rRNA from 1 species
UACGUAGGGGGCAAGCGUUGUCCGGAAUCAUUGGGCGUAAAGCGCGCGUAGGCGGCCCGGUAAGUCCGUUGUGAAAGUCAAAGGCUCAACCUUUGAACGCCGAUGGAUACUGCCGGGCUAGAGUCCGGAAGAGGCGAGUGGAAUUCCUGGUGUAGCGGUGGAAUGCGCAGGAUAUCAGGAGGAACACCGGUGGCGAGGGCGGUUCU